GGUUUCAUAGCUCAGUUGGUAGAGCAUUACACUUUUAAUGUAAGGGUCGCGAGUUCGAAUCUCGCUGAAGCCA
rnacentral:tRNA from 1 species